AGUUUGAUCCUGGCUCACGACGAACGCUGGCGGCGUGCCUAUUACAUGCUAGUCGAGCGAAGAUGGUGGAGCUUGCUCCAUUAUCUUAGCGGCGGACGGGUGAGUAACACGUGGGCAACCUGCCCUGCAGAUCGGGAUAACUCCGGGAAACCGGUGCUAAUACCUAAUAGUUUGCGGCCUCUCAUGAGGCUGCGCGGAAAGACGGUUUCGGCUGUCACUGCGGAUGGGCCCGCGGCGCAAUAUCUAGUUGGUGAGGUAACGGCUCACCAAGGCCACGAUGCGUAGCGACCUGCGAGGGUGAUCGGCCACACUGGUACUGAGACACGGCCCAUACUCCUACGGGAGGCAACGGUAGGGAAUCUUCUGCAUGGACGAAAUUCUGACCGAGCAACACCGCGUGAGUGAAGCAGGUUUUCGGAUCGUAAAACUCUGUUGUGAGGGAAGAACAUGUACCAACUAUCUACUGUUACCUUGACGGUACCUCACCGGAAAGCCACGGCUAACUACGUGCCAUCGGCCGGAGUAAUACGUAGGAGGCAAGCGUUGUCCGGAAUUAUUGGGCGUAAAGCUCGCGCAGGCGGGCCGUUAAGUCUGAUGUGACAGCCACUGCUCAUCAUGGGAGGGUCUUUGGAAACUGGGGGGACUAGAGUGCUUAAUAGGAAAGUGGAAUUCUACUUAUAGCGGUAGAAAUGACUACAGAUGUGUAGGAACACUAGUGCAAUGCGACUUAUCUCGGUCUGUACUGACGCUGUAUGCGCGAUAGCAUGCGGAGCUGACCUGAUUAGAUACCCUGGUAGUCCACGCCGUAAACGAUGAGUGCUAAGUGUUAGGGGGUUUCCGCCCCUUAGUGCUGCAGCUAACGCAUUAAGCACUCCGCCUGGGGAGUACGGCCGCAAGGCUGAAACUCAAAGGAAUUGACGGGGGCCCGCACAAGCGGUGGAGCAUGUGGUUUAAUUCGAAGCAACGCGAAGAACCUUACCAGGUCUUGACAUCCCGCUGACCGCCUAGGAGACUAGGCUUUCCCUUCGGGGACAGCGGUGACAGGUGGUGCAUGGUUGUCGUCAACUCGUGUCGUGAGAUGUUGGGUUAAGUCCCGCAACGAGCGCAACCCUUGAUCUUAGUUGCCAGCAUUCAGUUGGGCACUCUAAGGUGACUGCCGGUGACAAACCGGAGGAAGGUGGGGAUGACGUCAAAUCAUCAUGCCCCUUAUGACCUGGGCUACACACGUGCUACAAUGGACGGUACAAAGGGCUGCAAACCCGCGAGGGGGAGCCAAUCCCAGAAAACCGUUCUCAGUUCGGAUUGCAGGCUGCAACUCGCCUGCAUGAAGCCGGAAUCGCUAGUAGUCGCGGAUCAGCAUGCCGCGGUGAAUACGUUCCCGGGCCUUGUACACACCGCCCGUCACACCACGAGAGUUUGUAACACCCGAAGUCGGUGGGGUAACCCUUACGGGAGCCAGCCGCCGAAGGUGGGACAGAUGAUUGGGGUGAAGUCGUAACAAGGUAGCCGU
rnacentral:rRNA from 1 species